rnacentral:rRNA from 1 species
GUGCCAGCCGCCGCGGUAAUACCGGCAGCCCGAGUGAUGGCCACUCUUAUUGGGCCUAAAGCGUCCGUAGCCGGCCUCGCAAGUCCGUCGGGAAAUCCACCUGCUCAACAGGUGGGCGUCCGGCGGAAACUGUGUGGCUUGGAACCGGAAGGCUCAGAGGGUACGUCCGGGGUAGGAGUGAAAUCCCGUAAUCCCGGACGGACUACCGAUGGCGAAAGCACUCUGAGAAGACGGCUUCGACAGUGAGGGACGAAAGCUCGGGUCUCCAACCGGAUUAGAAACCCGAGUAGUCC